GAAGAAGUAGCUCAUCGUGCAUCAGCAUGGACCCGUGGACGUAUCAUAGAACCACCAGAGGUUGUAGUUCCGUCUAACUUCAUGAAGGCGUUGGUUCUCGGAUGGAAGCGGAACACUGCCUACCUGCCGACUACAAAGGUUGGACAAUGAAGGGUAAAUCCAAGGUAAUAAAGCAAUUGGAGUUGGCUGGUAUUUCACCAUGUCCACGCUACACUGAUGUAGUAUGGACAGUACAAGGAAGCUGGCUGCAUGGUCGACUGGUGGAUAUGUGAACUAGCUCCACAAACCUGGACUUCGGCCAGUUUGUCCAAUGGAGGCCAUUGUUGAGACAUGGGAGUUGAUGCUGCGGUGAGAUCUUCCCAGUUUGAAAACCAUCCACAUUUGUUGGGUUCCUCUGCACUAGACUGGUCCAGUGAUCUGCCACACUGGCGUCUGCAAACCCAGAUCUGGGUCAACAUGAUUCUGGUCAUGUGGAUGUUCGGGAUGGUCACGUAAACCAUAACGUCACACGCUGCCUCAAUCCCGUGGCCAUGGCAGAUGUUUCUUAAAUGUCUGCCAUGGGCCUUCACUAAUGUGUGGGGACGGUGCUGACUCUGUUCCAUUAACGCAGGACCUAGACUUGUCCUGUGACUGGCGUCCUCAAACCCAGUUCUGGGUCAUCUUGGGUCUCAGUUGGAAGAGGAACACUGCCUUACUGCUCACUACAAAGGUUGUGCAAUGAAGGCUAAAAUCCGAGGUAAUUAAGACAUUGGAGUGGGCUAGUAUUUGACCAUGUCCACGCUACGAUGAUGAUCUUCCACGCUUUUACCGAGUCACACUUUGAAGAAACUUCUUUACCAGAUUCUGAGUAACCCAAUGGAGCUCAACUCUGUUCAGUUAGACUUGACGUGAUUUUAAUGUCUAAUUUUUCUCACAGUAUGGACAGAAAAAGGUUGAUGGCUGCAUAGUUGACUGGUGGUAAUGUGAACUAGCUCCACAAACCUGGACUUCGGCCAGUUAGUCCAAUGGAGGCUAUUGUUGAG
ensembl:lncRNA